GAGUAAACUAUGGCAACUUCUUCAUCAUGCCAACUGCCUUCUACUCACCACUUGUUUGAGAUAUCGGAGUUUGAACAAAAAGAGAGAGUCUUUUGGCAGUUAUGGCUUGUUGAAGAAGUUUCCAUCAUUUACUAGC
rnacentral:pre_miRNA from 1 species